GCUCCCAUAGCUCAGUUGGUCUAGAGCAUCAAGCUUAUAUAAUCACCGCACGAAGUGCAGGUUAUAUAUGCCUCUUGGAGGUCGACGGUUCGAUCCCGCCUGGGAGCA